rnacentral:rRNA from 1 species
UAGUCCACGCCGUAAACGAUGGAUACUAGGUGUCCGGGAAGUUAACCUCCUGGGUACCACAGCUAACGCGUUAAGUAUCCCGCCUGGGGAGUACGGUCGCAAGGCUAAAACUCAAAGGAAUUGACGGGGGCCCGCACAAGCGGUGGAGUAUGUGGUUUAAUUCGAAGCAACGCGCAGAACCUUACCUACCCUUAACAUUUCACGCUCGCCUCAGAGAUGAGGUUUUCUCUUCGGAGACGUGAGGAUAGGUGCUGCAUGGCUGUCGUCAGCUCGUGUCGUAAGAUGUCUGGUUAAGUCCAAUAACGAGCGCAACCCUUAUCCUUAGUUACCAGCAUUGAGUUGGGGACUCUAGGGAGACUGCCGGUGUUAAACCGGAGGAAGGCGGGGAUGACGUCAAGUCCUCAUGGCCCUUACGGGUAGGGCUACACACGUACUACAAUGGCAGAAACAAAGGGUUGCCAAGCCGCGAGGUGGAGCUAAUCCCAUAAAGUCUAUCCCAGUUCGGAUUGGAGUCUGCAACCCGACUCCAUGAAGGUGGAAUCG